UUCUAUGAACGCUCGUUCGCACAUACAUAUCAUCAUUCUAAGUAUCGAACAUUCACGAACGCGUUCAAAAGAAAAAAUAUACAACAACAAGAGCGGUCAAAGUCUUAUGCCUCAAGGUAUCACUAGUAGAAAAAACUCUAUAGGUGGCCACUUAAAGGUUGCCCUUAUUGAACAAGGGCAACCUUUGACAAAAAAAAUUAAAAAAAAUUGAAAAAUGAAAUUUCAUUUCCCUCCCAUUUAAAUAAGCGCAACUUUUGCACACUGCUGCCCCUCUCCCUCUCUCCUACUCUUGCACACGGCUCGUCCUCUCCCUCCCUCCUACUCCUGCACACGGCUCGAAAAAGUCCCCGGCGCUCCUCUUCACCAGCGUUCUCUUCACCGGCGUCCUCUGCUCUGCUCUCGUUCUUGGUUCAACUCACAUACUCCUCUUCCGUUUGUUCUUCCCCUACCUACGUACUGCACACUGCUACUCCCUUAACCGCUGACAACUUCUUCUCUUCACCGUCGUCUACUCUUCUUCGCUACAUCCACCCUCCGACGGCGGCGAAGCUAGAUCUUUCCGGUAAAUAUCCGGCAGAAGCCACUAAUCCGACAAGAGGUGCUCCCGCAAAUGGGUCUAUUUAUGUUUGUAACUUACCUGAAGGAACUGGCGAUAACAUGGUAGCGGAAUUCUUCGGUACCAUUGGUUUGAUUAAGGGAAACUUUUGUUGUGGAGGUUGUGAGUCGUACAGUAUUCCAAUAGUCUGGAAAUAAUCCUUUGGUGUUCUGGAUAUGUGUUAUCAGCAACUCCUGAUUAAAGUGACCUCAUACAUAAAAAGGCAACAGGUGUAAAGAAAUCCCAAUCGAUAGCUAAACCAGCUCAUCCAACAUUGCCUAAGAAGAACUUGUAAAUUCCGAGUGGGACGACUAGAGAAAAGGAUUAGACCCUUGCUUGAGCUGCUGCCAGCUUCUAGCUACUGCUGCUGCAAGGUUCUAGCUGCAGCUGCUGCCAGCUUCUAGCUGUUGUUUUUGCUGCUACUGUAAGCUAGUUGCUCCUGUUGCAGCUAGCUAGCAACUGCUUCAAGUUGCUGCUUCAAGUUGCUGCUGUCAGUCAAAUUUCCAUUGACUGGAGGUCAUCCAAAAGAUCAGCAUCCAAACUUUAGCAGUGUUUUAUCCUGUAAGUUAUUUACUUUCAGUUACUAAACUGCUUAUUGUGCUUCUUUUAUUUAAACUGGCAGGUGCAACAUUUGUUGCCCCAAUGGUCAGACAAGGACGUAUGAAAUCAUUCAUUGAGGAAGCCGUGUUAAAAGUGUCAGACUGGGGUUGAUACGUAACUGGCUGGAGAUGAUUAUUCCACUAGAAUCGAAAGGGCUCGGAGUUCAAGUGUCAAUGAUUCCUUAAAUGCUGUCCCAGAUCCCGAUUGCAUCCAGUCUGUAUCUAGAAGCAGUCUUGCUCCCCCCGCAUUGCUCCAGUUUGCUAAGUCGAGGAAGCUAUCUAUUGAACGAUCUGAUUUCAGAAAGUUUUCAAAGGUCCUACGGAGGAGAGGCCCUUUACCAAGGAGGAGAUCCAUGAAGUUCGAGACAAGUUUGCUAGACACAUUCACCGAUUUUGAAGUGCCGUAAUAUUCUUGUGAAUUUGUUAUAUAUUGAAUUUGUUAGACAAGUUAGCUAGUAGUUUUGAAUUUGUUAUAUAUUGAUCAUUAGAUUUCAAUUAUUCUCGUUUAAUGUGUACGUGGUAUUAGAGUUGUAAACUUGAAACGUCAAGCUGA